GGAUGGGGCCCUGGGCAGCCUGGUCUAGUACCAGAUGUGGAGGUUGGUCGCCCUGCCUGUGGCAGGGGGUUGGAACUUGAAGAUCCUGGGGGUCCAUUCCAACCCAAGCCAUUCUGUUGGGUUCAUUCCUCUCAGCUAGGCUGGAGUUGGCUGAGCUGACUUGUUUCCCUGCCUUCUAAGCAGUGCUUGCUGCGUCACACUGGCUAAUCUUUAUCAACGCUCCCACUUUGUGUGCUGUCUCAGCUGCAGCAACGCCCUCUUCCUGGCUGCUGCUUUGGGGAAAUGGCGUGUAGAGUUCCGUGCACUGAGCAUCAUUGCUGUUUCUGUAGUGCUUUGUGUCACGGACGGGGGAAAUGAUCCAUUUCUCAAAGAGAAGGUGAAUUUCUGUUAAGGGAAAGGGUGGUUAUUGCUGAAAUAAUCCUUACUCCAAAGUGGGAGGAAACACAAUGUGUUGUAUGGUGUGUUAAAUAACUUUGUUUCUCCUUACAGCUGAUUCCUGUGAAAUAAAGUCUUUUAUUCUUUCAAGAAGAUACUCCACUGAGAGGAGUUGGAGAGUUCUGUAGGCUCCCUGGAAGUGUGGGCCAAAGUCCAGUAGUGGUAUAGGUCAGGAAAAAGGAUUUACAAGUUUUUCUUUUCUAAAGUAUUUUGGCUCCUCCUGGAGGUAAGUGCAGUGAAUUUCUCAGGAUAACACCUCACAGUAACUACACAGGCAUGGUGGUCUGUUUUCGCCAUGGUGCAAUCAGAUGGUGAAGGACUGUCACGAGAUGUUAAGUAAUUCACAUCACAAAACCUAAACCUUGGCAUCUUGAAAUAUUUGUUGGUAUUGUAGCAAUAUUUGCCAUUCUUCUAUCUCUUUAAAUCCACAUCAGUCUUGUCAAAGGAUCUGAGCCAGCUUUUUGCCUUCUGCAUCUUCCCACAGAAGGCCUGGUGUCUUAGGGCAGCACAUGCAACUCAUGUAGCUUCUGCACACCCCACCUUAUCCAGUGCUUCAUUCAUCACAGAAGAAAAAAAUAUAAUGCUCUGUUGCUGCUAUAACCUCCGGUUUAGUUUGUACAUCUGAAGAGUUUUGAUUGAAAAGCACUGCUCUCUUUGUUUUAUUUCUCCAUGUGGAUGCUUUCACUUUGCUGAAGGGGAAAAAGAAAAACAGUAUUAUAUGUCAGAACAGUGCUGUCCUUAAACUUUAAGGCUAAGCUUAUGCUUAUGUUUGUGCAGCUGAUACCGAGUAAUGAUGGUAAGUAGUACGAUAGGGUGUGUGUUUUCUACAAACGGCAGAAAACAUGGAUAUAAAAUUGUCCAGGAUAAAUCUGCUGACAUAGCAACUACAUACUUUGCUUUUGUGUGUUCGGUAUCACUGAUACCACUUGCAGUGAUUCCUUCUCUUCCUUCCCCCACCUUGUUUCCAUGCUGCUGCUCUGGGUAGGAGGCAAGGAUCCUGCUUUGCAGAUGAAAUUACUUCCCUGUUUUACUGUGUUUCUUUAUCCGAUAAUGUAGAUGCUGCUGAUGUCUCAGUGAAGAGAGAACUGAGGUGAAAAAGUAAUGAAAGGAAUGCUUGAUGUGCCAGACAAGUAAAAUAGUUUCCUACGUUGUAUAGUUCACUUUCAGGAGUUUGGGGGUACCCGCUAUUUGUCAGGCUAGAUUUUACACAGCUUAGAAGCUUGGAAUGUUAAAUCCUGUGUUAUCUCAAACGUAGGUCAUCAUUUUACACUGUUCAUCUGGAAAUGCUCACACCCACUUACCUUCUGACCCAGCAGGUCUUAACUGUGAGAUCCACAAGAAGCUUAUAGCCAUAUUGCAGAAAUAAGCACUGUCUCAGUGUCCCAUGUGAAAAGACUUAAAGUGACUAAAGAACUGAAGGCCUGCCUUUACUGUGUUUUGAGUACGUGGAUAUACUCUGAUUUAAUGCAUUUUAUGAAAGCUGCUUCAGGUGUUUGUAUGGUCCCGAGCCUGCUAAGCUGUCACAUAUGUCUGCCUUUGCUGUGCCAGCAUCCUACACUGCAGAAACUACAAGUUUUGUUGCAAAAACGAAUUUGGUCUCAGUGCAAUCAGGUAAGCAACCACUCUGUGCCCUGAGAGUAAGGAGAAGCAGCUGGAAGUGGUGGAAGACGGUGCAGAGAACAAGGAUAAGUAGCAACGUGUGAUGCGUUUGCCUUCUGCAAAGAAGCAGUUAGUACAUUUUGUAUGCUUUUCUUGCUUUCAUCGUGGUAAAUUCUUGCUCCUAAUUAAAACCAGAAGAUUUUGUUGUAAAUUCAGCCUUCACUGGAUAACGUACUGGAAACAUGCCUGCAAUCUGCACGAGAAAUGCGUGCAUGUACCAGAUUGGUGUGUACAACAUAUGCAAGAGUGUAAAAGCAUUCCAGGUCCCUUUGGAUGAAGGGGGAGAGCUGUAGAGUCACAGAGGCACUGCUGCUUGUAGAGCCUGUGAAAAAAAGCAGAAAUGCUUUGUGCAGUGGUAACAGCUUCAAGGUAAGGGUGUGGAUUCAGCUGGGUGUAGUAGGUAAGUAGGUCCGUGUGGUGUGAAAACACAGGUAAGAAUGGGAGGGUUGCAUAUCUAAGUGUUUGUAAAUGAAAUGGAGGGGGGAGGGGGGGAAGCAAUCGUUAAAUCUCUGGAAGACCUCAGGAUUCCUGUGAUAACUUUAUUAUAUUCUGUUUUUCAGCACAAGAAGAGCCUCUUCAGGUGUUGGGGACGUGUAAUGCUACCGAACUGCAGAACAUAAUAUGAGAUGGGGGGUGGACAGGCUACUCCAAGUCAUGGCCUCACAGAAACAGUUUCAGUAGAGAGGAAACCUCACAUUCUCUUGGAACUUCCAUGAAUUUAAGUGAGGACCCAUUGGCAGUGGUGAAACAGGAAGUUAGUUCUAUUUUUGACACUGGUCAUGGGGAUGAGGGUAGUGAACUUCAUACUUGUUAAUCAGCACACAGUGAUGGGCCUUGGCAGAAGUGCAGGCUGAGCCCAGGAGAUUACAGUCGUGGGGAAACUCAGUUUCCCAACCAACAGUGGCUGAAACUUCCUGAGUAGAGGGAAUGGAUGAGCAUCUGCUGCUCAGCUGAAUAGGGAUAGUUCUCUUGAGGCCACAGAUAGAGUCACACAGUCCAGAACUACCCUCAGAGCUUUAGUCUUGGCCCACCCAGCUCCUGCAGAGCUAUGGGGACUGGAGCACCGUGCUGAAGAUAACCCUCAGCACACCUUGCUGGGGUCCGGGCUGGAUGGAAGCCGUCUGGUUGGCUGUGUCCCAGCUUUCACAUACCCAACAAGAACCUCAGCGCUUCUGAGUAGAGCAAGUUAACACUUGGGAUGCACCGAUAUAGCUGUAGUUUGUGCGUGCUGUACUCAUUAGCAUGACUUGAUGAGAGCUUGUGUUGUACAAAGCAAGUUGGGUUUUGAGGUUUGCUCACUGCACACCCCACUCUAUUGCCAGUAGACAUGGGGAGAAGCUCUAACCCUGGGUUUGUACCACAUCUCACUGGGGAGCCUGUGGUGCCUGUGCCACAAACAGUCCGUGAGCUGACAAAUCCUUAAGCAUGGUGGCAGUUCUCAUGCUUGUGAAAAACGAGGGGUAAGGGGGAUAGGUAGGGGUUCUUCCUUUCAUGAAUGACAAACUACUGAAAUCCAAAGCUCACUGAAAAUAACCUUCUAAAAAUGAAAUUGGAAGGUGUGAUUAAGGCGGUAUGAUCCUUCAGUUACAGCAAACUUCCAAUGCUGUUCUUUGUCUCUUGUGUGGUUCACAGAAAAAGUGGAUGUGUAACAUAGGUAAGACUUGCUGGAAUUUGCGUGGAAUCAUGCAUUGCUGCAAGGAAAUCCUGCAAGGAAACUGCUAAUGCUGGAGUCCCUGGUUAUGUGUAACAGUAUACUCACUUUCUCUGGCUAUUCAGAUGCAGUGGCAUGAAGUUACGCAUUGGUUUUGGUGCCAUUCAUCUGAAAAUCCAAACGUUUGCAGUGUGAGUGCGUUAACAGCAAUGCAGUCAAAGCAUUCCUUAACGCACACAAGCCAUUCCCUUUUGGGUGAGUAACAGUGCAAUGUGAAGAAGCACCCAGCUGCCAGGAGGUGUCACUGGUAGCACUCCUGUGCUGGAAUCCCCUGAGUUUGCUGCUCCUCCCUUUGACGGAGGUUUCAUAUCAUAAAUCAUAGAAUGGCCUGGGUUGGAAGGGACCUCAAGGAUCGCAAAGCACCGAACCCCCACAUGGCAUGCAGGGCUACCGACCUUCACAUUUAGUACCAGGCCAGGCUGCCCAGGGCCCCAUCCAACCUGGCCUUGAACACCUCCAGGGACGGGGCAUCCACAGCCUCUCUGGGCAGUCUGUUCCAGCACCUCACCACUCAUAGUAAACAACUUCCCCAGUAUCCAACCUAAAUCUUCCCUCCUUCAACUUAAAACUAUUUCCCCUUGUCCUGCUGUUAUCUACCCUUUCAAAGAGUUCACUCCCCUCCUGUUUAUAGGCUCCCUUUAGGUACUGGAAGGCUGCAAUGAGGUCACCUGCAGCCUUCUCUUCUCCAGGCUGAACAAGCCCAGCUCCCUCAGCCUGUCUUCAUAGGGAAGGUGCCCCAGCCUUCUCAUCAUCUUUGUGGCCCUCCUCUGGACCCGCUCCCACAGCUCCCUGUUGGGUUUUCCCAAAUUAUGCAGUAUGUCAUCAUUCACUGGCUCUUUCCCACCUCAUCACGUACCCACUAUUUUGUGUUUGGUUUUGCAAUUUCUCUGCAAAUACCUCUUCCUGGAAAACAGAAUAACAGUAAGUAGCUCAAGCUGCUGGCCAAGCUUCAUUCCUGUGGUUUCACUUGCUCUGUUCUGUCAAGUUAUUUACAUGCAGCGUCCUAAGGAUAUAAUUGAGUGGAGUGCUAGUAAGCACUAACCUUUGUGUCUGCCCUCAGUCCAUGUAGGUCAGGCUUACCCAAGCUGUUUCCUACAGUGAAUUCACUGCCUACUCCUGCAGCCCUUGGUUGCACUAUUUCAUGAAAGCAGCAUGAUCUGCUCUUGCAGGAACUACAAAAAGGGCAGGUUAGCGUCAGUCUCUUUACCUGCUGUGUUGCACAACCCAGAUCUGUUCUGAACCUUGCUCUUGCAUACACGAGCCCUAGGGUGCGCAAGUGAAAGGCAUUAUCACAUCUUAACAGCUCUGGUGUGCUUCAGUAUAGGAGAAAGAUUUCAAAGGUAGGCCAGGUGUUUGAGAUUGACUAUUUACAUUACUUUGCUCAAAACAGAGCUGCCAGCUUAUUCCCUGUUCUGAAUUCAUCUGUACCAGAGCUGUCUUGUACUCAGAGCCUUUUGGGGCAUGCAUUCCCCAGGCUUUGAAUUCCGAGAAUGCAGCUGUGUGAUUCAGACUGGAUGGCACGGCUCAUUUAAGGAGCUCGGUGUUAUCUUUUGUCCUUUGCUCUCCUGUGCCACACCGCACUGUGCCUGGCAUGCCAACAGGUCUGUCUGUAGCAGCAGGGUGAUUAGCAGGCUGUUACAUGUCCAGCCCCAUGCCUGCUUUUCUUUAGCCGAAGUUGGAAGUGUAGGAAGUUUGUGCAACUUCUCUAAAAGCCUGGAGGGGAUCAAUGAGGUGCUUGAGAGCGUUUGCAACAUGGCAGCAAAAGCUGGUGAUCAGGCACGCAGCAAAACUCAGUCCUUGGGUUGCUGCAGCCUUCAUCUCAUUAAACCAUGCACCUAAUGAUGGGGUUUGGUUUGUAGGGGAGGAGCAGCAACACGUCCCUUGUGUAUGUGAUGGUUAAUGGUGUUUUUUCCUGCUUUAGGUCUUUGAUGCAUGACUGCUGGGUGUUUCGCUGUGUGCUGCCUCCUGAGCAGGCUUGAGGAACCCUGAUGUCUGUGAGCAGCAUUGGUGAUGCUAGGUGUAGUCAAGCAAAUGAUGAGAAAGCUAGACUAAGAUGUGGUGUAGGUUUCCCAUAGUUUUGUCUUUUAUAACUGUUACAGAGGGUACACAUUUAUUGUAUGACACAAUUUCUUACAAUUAAGGAUUUACAAGUUACACCUGCACACCUAGCCAAAUACACCCUUUCUAUUUAAUGGCAAGGUAGAUUUGCACAGAGAGAAUAGGGUAGUCAGCCAUUUCAUAUAUAGGAUGGGUGUUUUCCAUGUCAGUGUUUUUGCACUGCCCCCUGAUAAGAGUACACAGUGGAAUUCCUUACCAUGCAAAUGUGUUCUACUGUCUCCACUCUGGUGACGGUGAAUCGUGUCCUCUGUGAGCCUUUGCUUUCACUGUAGCCAUUUCUGCUGAAAUAAUCCCCAGAGGGAUUAUUGCUGUUAUUAGGCUUUCUGGAUAAAUGAGAGGCAGAUGCGGUCCUUGUGUGAGUUGGCAGGAGGGUGUUGCACAGCCAGGUGGGUGCUGCAUCUCACCUGGGAUGUAGAACAGUGUCUUGUUAAUGAGUUUGUCCCAGUGAAGUCCAUUAACCCUCCUGCAGAUCCCUGCCAGCUGAAAGCUCCAUUCAAAUCCUGGGUAGUGGGGUGACCACUGGCCCAAUCCUCCCCACUAUAUGUAUUUAUAAUAUAUUGCCUGUAUUUCUUGAUACAAUUUUUAUAUAAAUCAAUAAGCCAAGGGAGUCAAGGAAAAAUAGGGAAGUAUGAUGUGCUGCUGAGAGAAUCCUGGAAUAGAGUGGCAGUUCCCUGUUGAGAACAGCUCAGAGGUGUCCUGGACAAUACAGUUUGUGUGCAUGUUUCUGCUUUGUUCAAGUUUUUAAUCCCAUCCGUCUUUCCGACUCUCAUCCCUGAGAAGGUCCUUUGGCUGUGGAUUAACCUUGUCAGGAGAACCAAGGCAUGUGACAUGCUUGGCACAGGGGCAGGUACGUGUGGGGCUCUCCCAAGUUGCUGUCAGCACCUCAGCUUUGCAGAUCUCCAGAAUGGAUGAUGUUGCUGCUGUUCAUUCUGAGUGGUUGCUGCCUCAUUUAUAUGAGUUUGAUGGUAUGUCAAAUAUCCAAACCUCUUGCUACAAUUCAUUAUCUGAAGGUAAAUUUAGGCACAAGUCAACAGCCAAGAUCCUUGGCUUUCAAUACGCUUGCCUUCCUGUAACACUCAUUCAUUCCAUUUGUUCCUUUGUUCCCAUCCACCACUCAUGAAGGGCUUUUGGAGUUGUCACUGUUUCAUUCUAGAUAACACCCCAGUUGUCCGUGCUUGUUCUUUUCUGUAGUAAUUCCUGUUGGCUGCACAGCACUUCACAGUCAGUAUUCACUGUGCACGAGAGCCCUCACACAGUCCCACAUUUGGAGCUGGUGGGCUGCUGGCUGCACUCCUCCAGCUGUUGCAUAUCAUCCUAGGAAAGAAAAGAAGGAAGGUUGGAUGUGUUGUGAUCAAAUGCUCUUCCUUGCCCUAACCUGGAAAUCUUGCAGGAGGGUUCUGAAAUCUUUUACCAAGUAGGAAGGCUCUGAGCUUGAAACACAAAUGUGGCACCACUCUUUUUCAGACGCUCCUUCAGAGAGGUGUUGAGGGGAACAGAGUUUGAUCCUUUCUUUUUAGCUGGUGUUUCAGUUAAUAACCUGAAGAAAAACCUUCCGUUUCAUACCAUCAUUUUAAUGCAAAGGCCAAUAAGUGACAUUUCUUAGGCAUUUGUUUCAUGCUUUAUGUUACAGCUGCAUGUAUUCACGCAUUUACUCAAACAUUCAUAUAGAAUCAUCUAAUCCUUAGAGUUGGAAGGGCCCUUUGAAGGCCAUCUGGUCCAACUCCCUGCAAUGAACAGGGACACCACAGCUCAGUCAGGUUGCCCAGGGCCUGAUCCAGCCUCACCUUGAAAGUCUCCAGGGACGGGGCAUCAACCACAUCACAAGGCAACCUGUUCCAGUGCCUCACCACCCUCACUGUAAAAGACUUUUCCUUAUAUCCAGCCUGAAUCUCCCUCUUCAAGCUUGAAAGCGUUUCCCUUUGUUCUAUCACAACAGACCCCACUAAAAAGGUCUCUUUCUUCUUCCCUUCUUUCCUUUUGUUCACUUAUCUAAUGUUAAAAUUGGGCCAUAAGACACAAAAAUUGUUGAGCUCAAGCUUCAGAGGACCUGGUUCCUGCAGUGGUACCUUCAGGGGGGAAAUCACUUAUGCCUCAGGACCGUGCUGUGUGCUGGAUGGCUUCUCUAAGUAGCUCCUUCCAGUUCCUAAACUGAUGACACCUGGGGUUGAAUAGUAGACCUCUAUGGUCAUGUGCCUUAAGGACCUCACAGACGGAAGUGCCAUGCUGAAGGUAUCAAGUGAAGGCACAACUCAAGUGUCGCUGGAAACAAAGCAGUCACCCUGAUGUGCAAUGGUGCAAAGACUUUGCAGCCAACACAACCCUUCUUUACAGUGUUCUUAAGACUAUUAUCCCUCGGAAAGCUAUUUAAUAACUUUUUUUUGUAAAGAGGAGUUCCAAAUACUCAGUGCUUUACAUCUAUAGUAGUUCUUCUCCCCCAUCACAGACCUCGUGGAGAUGACUGUAUGUAUAGCACUGGCAGUCCCAGCAAUGUUUGGCUGUGGCUGCAGUGGGAACAGUGAGGCUCCCCAACUGCAGAGCCGCAGUACACAUAAUGCUAACAGGAGAGGAGGGGCUCAGCCCUUCCCAAGGUUCCCCCUGCUCAGGUCACACCUCUGAAGCCUUCAGUGUAUGCAGGUACUGCACAGUGCUGCAGAGUGUGUGUCAGAUGUGCGGGUCCCUGCUUGCUUUGACAUGAGAGAGGCUACUUCAGUUGCUGCUUCCGUUCAGGACCAAAAUGCACAAAAGAAAUAGCAGAAUAAAAUGGCAGCACUCUGGCAUUGAUUAGGGACCACAACUAAGACACUGUUGUUAGAUUUGUGCAUGGAAUUAGUGGGGCAUCACCAGAUUUGAGGCGUGUAACGCAUGCCCGGUCCAUAGCUUUGCUUGCAGCCUGCAAAGAGGAUCGUGGACAUCCCAGCACCUCUUAUCCUGAUUUGAGAAUCUAGGUUGUAGAACACAGGAUAGCCAAAGCCUGAUCCCAAAUGUUAUUUGUGUACGUAUAAUUAUUCUCAGGUGGAAUCCACCUAUUUCUGACAGCUAACGACUAGACAGUUAAUUAUGUGACAACUGUAAUGCCUCAAUUCUCAUGCUGCGUUACAGGGAAACUAAUUUCUCUCUUGAGAUGUCUGAUCCUCUCAGCUGACUACAGAGGGAGCAGAAGUUAGGACAGCUCAAAGGUACCCACACAUCUACCUUAAGUAAGCCUCACCCAGCAUGUCUGCUGGCUGAUGUUACUAACAUUGGGUAAUGCCUGCCUCAUCUCUGAAGGUCUGUAGGUGUUUAUCAUAUUGUGUGGGAUCUCAUUUCAUAGCUGAUGACAUAAACCGCGACAGUUACUUAUGUAAUUAGCAGAUAGUCAUUAGCUUUUGUAAAAUCAGUAGAAUUCCACAUGGGAGCAAUUGCACAAGUGUUAGUAGUUCAGGCUGUUGUUGACUGGAGAGCUGUUAGGAAGUACCUAAUGAACAGCAAUAGUUCAUGGUGAUGGAAAACUUACCAUGUUCUAAUACAGAGUGUUUCAUAUUCUGUAUUGGAUGCUCUAUUGGGAACUCUCCUACUGUAAUGCCUUUUAAAAAAUAUAGGGGGAAAAAAAAGCACAUUUGAACAAAAACUCAAAAAUUUCUAUCCUUGGUUUCAGUUCAGGAGGUGCGUUUUCAAAACUGAAUUCCUGUCUAAAGUGCUCUAAGUCGCAAAAAAAUACCAGCAGUCUUCAUUUUGAAUGGUUCCAGAUGUACAACACAGAUGAGGCCAUAGGAUCUGCUACGGUAGAUAACACCCUUAUCAGUUUGCAGAAAUAGAGCAAACAAGAGACCAACUCCAGCAGAAGACUGAAGAUUUGCAAAGCAUCUUCCACAGUGCCUACAACAGCAGAUUAUUUCUGGCUCUCCAUUCCACAAAACGCAG
ensembl:lncRNA